UACGGAGGGUGCAAGCGUUAUCCGGAUUUACUGGGUUUAAAGGGUGCGUAGGUGGGUAGGUAAGUCAGUGGUGAAAUCUUCGAGCUUAACUCGGAAACUGCCAUUGAUACUAUCUGUCUUGAAUACUUUGGAGGUAAGCGGAAUAUGUCAUGUAGCGGUGAAAUGCUUAGAUAUGACAUAGAACACCAAUUGCGAAGGCAGCCUACUACACAGUCAUUGACACUGAGGCACGAAAGCGUGGGGAUCAAACAGG
rnacentral:rRNA from 1 species